UGAGCAAGCUGGGCAGCCGCGACUUUUUUAAGUUGAGGAAAGUCCGGGCUCCGCAGGGCAGGGUGCUGGAAAACGUCCAGUGAGGGCGACCUCAAGGAAAGUGCCACAGAAAACAAACCGCCUUUUUUUAAAGGUAAGGAUGAAACGGUGCGGUAAGAGCGCACCAGCAGCCUGGCGACUGGCUGGCUUGGUAAACCCCACCCGGAGCAAGACCAAAUAGGAGGGAUUAAGGAUGGCCCGUCCGCCCCUCGGGUAUGGUCGCUGGAGGUGCCAGGCAACUGGCAUCGUAGAUAGAUGGCUGCCACUCCUGCACAGGAGUACAGAACCCGGCUUACACGCUUGCUCGGCUU
rnacentral:RNase_P_RNA from 1 species